CGUACACUCCUGCGGGAGGCAGCAGUGGGGAAUAUUGGACAAUGGGCGCAAGCCUGAUCCAGCCAUGCCGCGUGAGUGAUGAAGGCCCUAGGGUUGUAAAGCUCUUUCACCGGUGAAGAUAAUGACGGUAACCGGAGAAGAAGCCCCGGCUAACUUCGUGCCAGCAGCCGCGGUAAUACGAAGGGGGCUAGCGUUGUUCGGAUUUACUGGGCGUAAAGCGCACGUAGGCGGACUAUUAAGUCAGGGGUGAAAUCCCGGGGCUCAACCCCGGAACUGCCUUUGAUACUGGUAGUCUUGAGUUCGAGAGAGGUGAGUGGAAUUCCGAGUGUAGAGGUGAAAUUCGUAGAUAUUCGGAGGAACACCAGUGGCGAAGGCGGCUCACUGGCUCGAUACUGACGCUGAGGUGCGAAAGCGUGGGGAGCAAACAGGAUUAGAUACCCUUGUAGUCCCAUGAU
rnacentral:rRNA from 1 species